rnacentral:rRNA from 1 species
UACGUAGGGGGCAAGCGUUGUCCGGAUUUAUUGGGCGUAAAGAGCGUGUAGGCGGUUUGGUAGGUCCGUUGUGAAAACUCGAGGCUCAACCUCGAGACGCCGAUGGAAACCAUCAGACUAGAGUCCGGAAGAGGAGAGUGGAAUUCCUGGUGUAGCGGUGAAAUGCGCAGAUAUCAGGAAGAACACCCGUGGCUAAGGCGGCCUCUCGUAGUACGGUACUGACGCUGAGCACGCGAAAGCGUGGGGAGCGAACAGG